UCCUUAUCAAGAGCCGGGGGAGGAACUGGUCCUAUAAUCCCGCAGCAACCAUUACUGGAAACGCAGUAAAAUGGUGCUAAUUCCAGCAAGUUUUCACUUGAGAGAUGAGGC
rnacentral:ncRNA from 1 species